rnacentral:rRNA from 1 species
CUGACUGCUAUCGGAUUGGUACUAAGCCAUGCGAGUCGUUGUAGCAAUACAAGGCGGACGGCUCAGUAACACGUAGUCAACCUAACCUAUGGACGUGGAUAACCUCGGGAAACUGAGAAUAAAACACGAUAGAUCAUAAUGCCUGGAAUGGCUUAUGGUUCAAACAAUUUAUUGCCAUAGGAUGGGACUGCGGCCUAUCAGCUUGUUGGUGAGGUAAUGGCCCACCAAGGCUAUAACAGGUACGGGCUCUGAGAGGAGAAGCCCGGAGAUGGGUACUGAGACACGGACCCAGGCCCUAUGGGGCGCAGCAGGCGAGAAACCUUAGCAAUGUGCGAAAGCACGACUAGGUUAAUCCGAGUGGUUCCUGCUAAAGGAACCUUUUGUCAGUCGUAAAACCACAGAUGAAUAAGGGGUGGGCAAGUCUGGUGUCAGCCGCCGCGGUAAUACCAGCACCUCGAGUGGUCAGGAGGUUUAUUGGGCCUAAAGCAUCCGUAGCCGGCUUUGCAAGUCUCCGGUUAAAUCCAACUGCUCAACAGAUGGGCCGCCGGAGAUACUACAAAGCUAGGGAGCGGGAGAGGUAGACGGUAUUCUGCGGGUAGGGGUAAAAUCCACUGAUCCAUAGAGGACCACCAGUGGCGAAGGCGGUCUACCAGAACGCGUUCGACGGUGAGGGAUGAAAGCUGGGGGAGCAAACCGGAUUAGAUACCCGGGUAGUCCCAGCUGUAAACGAUGCAAACUCGGUGAUGCGUCGGCUUAUGGCCAACGCAGUGCCGCAGGGAAGCCGUUAAGUUUGCCGCCUGGGAAGUACGGACGCAAGUCUGAAACUUAAAGGAAUUGGCGGGGGAGCACCACAAGGGGUGAAGCCUGCGGUUCAAUUGGAUUCAACGCCGGG